rnacentral:rRNA from 1 species
GAUGAACGCUAGCGGCAGGCCUAAUACAUGCAAGUCGAACGAUAGUUGGGGCUUGCCCCAACGAAAAGUGGCGCACGGGUGCGUAACGCGUAUGCAACCUACCUUAAUCAGGGGGAUAGCCCGAAGAAAUUCGGAUUAACACCGCAUAAAAUCACAGUAUAGCAUUAUACAAUGAUCAAAUAUUUAUAGGAUUAAGAUGGGCAUGCGUGACAUUAGUUAGUUGGCGAGGUAACGGCUCACCAAGACUACGAUGUCUAGGGGAUCUGAGAGGAU